rnacentral:tRNA from 1 species
GGGCGCAUAGCUCAGGUGGUUAGAGCGCACGCCUGAUAAGCGUGAGGUCGAUGGUUCGAAUCCAUUUGUGCCCA